GUACUAAUGAACAAGGGCUUAGGAGUCAGGAGGCGGGGUUCAAAUCCUUGCUCAGCUACUAUGUGACCUUGGCCAACUUCCUUCCAUGGCUCUCCAUUUCCUCAUCUAUCAAACAAAGAUUGUACAAACAAGUCCAACAAACCCACCAUUAUGCCCAUCCUGGCCCAUGAAAGCAAGCCCUCUGCUCUAGCCAAAAUUGGAAUCAUCAGCCUGAGACCCUGCUCCCCCUCCUAUGGCCCUAUCCUAUCCUGAUCAGACUGCACUAGAAUUCUCCCUGGUUCUGAGCUCUGCACUUCUUACCCUGUCCCGGAUGACUGCUCUUCCACCCCCUGAUUUCUCCGUCCUCCUGAUUUUCCUGAGGAGAUGGACCAGCUCUUUGGAGCUGGGGUAUGGGAUCCUCUCUGGCAGCGUGCUGCAGGACAAAGGUGGCUUCAACAGAAGUGCAGGUGAUUUAUGGUUUAUGUGACAUGAGCUGGCCGGUGUUUGAGAAGAGUUGUACCAAUGGCUGUCCUGUACCGAACGUCCUCAAGGAGUCAAACGCUUCACAAGCAGUAUUUUACUUACUCUUCUCAAGGCCUGGUACGUAUACAG
rnacentral:lncRNA from 1 species